GAUGAACGCUGGCGGCGUGCUUAACACAUGCAAGUCGAACGGAAAGGCUCCUGCUUGCAGGGGUACUCGAGUGGCGAACGGGUGAGUAACACGUGGGUGAUCUGCCCUGCACUUCGGGAUAAGCCUGGGAAACUGGGUCUAAUACCGGAUAGGACCACAUUUUGGAUGGUGUGGUGGAAAGUUUUUCGGUGUGGGAUGAGCUCGCGGCCUAUCAGCUUGUUGGUGGGGUAAUGGCCUACCAAGGCGUCGACGGGUAGCCGGCCUGAGAGGGUGUACGGCCACAUUGGGACUGAGAUACGGCCCAGACUCCUACGGGAGGCAGCAGUGGGGAAUAUUGCACAAUGGGCGCAAGCCUGAUGCAGCGACGCCGCGUGGGGGAUGGCGGCCUUCGGGUUGUAAACUCCUUUCGCUAGGGACGAAGCGUUUUUGUGACGGUACCUGGAGAAGAAGCACCGGCUAACUACGUG
rnacentral:rRNA from 1 species